rnacentral:tRNA from 1 species
CGCGGGGUGGAGCAGUUGGCAGCUCGUCAGGCUCAUAAUCUGAAGGUCGAGGGUUCGAGUCCCUCCCCCGCAACCA